rnacentral:rRNA from 1 species
AUCCGGUGCUUGCACCGGGGAUUAGUGGCGAACGGGUGAGUAACACGUGAGUAACCUGCCCUUGACUCUGGGAUAAGCCUGGGAAACUGGGUCUAAUACCGGAUAUGACUCCUCAUCGCAUGGUGGGGGGUGGAAAGCUUUUGUGGUUUUGGAUGGACUCGCGGCCUAUCAGCUUGUUGGUGAGGUAAUGGCUCACCAAGGCGACGACGGGUAGCCGGCCUGAGAGGGUGACCGGCCACACUGGGACUGAGACACGGCCCAGACUCCUACGGGAGGCAGCAGUGGGGAAUAUUGCACAAUGGGCGCAAGCCUGAUGCAGCGACGCCGCGUGAGGGAUGACGGCCUUCGGGUUGUAAACCUCUUUCAGUAGGGAAGAAGCGAAAGUGACGGUACCUGCAGAAGAAGCGCCGGCUAACUACGUGCCAGCAGCCGCGGUAAUACGUAGGGCGCAAGCGUUAUCCGGAAUUAUUGGGCGUAAAGAGCUCGUAGGCGGUUUGUCGCGUCUGCCGUGAAAGUCCGGGGCUCAACUCCGGAUCUGCGGUGGGUACGGGCAGGCUAGAGUGAUGUAGGGGAGACUGGAAUUCCUGGUGUAGCGGUGAAAUGCGCAGAUAUCAGGAGGAACACCGAUGGCG